rnacentral:rRNA from 1 species
GAUGAACGCUAGCUACAGGCUUAACACAUGCAAGUCGAGGGGUAACGAGAGGAAAGCUUGCUUUCCUUGUCGACGACCGGCGCACGGGUGAGUAACGCGUAUCCAACCUGCCCCCAACUAAGGAAUAACCUUGCGAAAGUAAGACUAAUACCUUAUAAUUUCCUCAGAUGUCAUCUGACGAGGAAUAAAGAUUUAUCGGUUGUGGAUGGGGAUGCGUCUGAUUAGCUUGUUGGCGGGGUAACGGCCCACCAAGGCAACGAUCAGUAGGAGUUCUGAGAUGAAGGUCCCCCACCUUGGAACUAAGACACGGUCCAAACUCCUACGGGAGGCAGCAAUGAGUAAUAUUGGUCAAUGGGCGGAAGCCUGAACCAGCCAAGUAGCGUGCAGGAUGACGGCCCUAUGGGUUGUAAACUGCUUUUAUACAGGAAUAAAGUUAGCCACGUGUGGUUAUUUGUAGGUACUGUAUGAAUAAGGACCGGCUAAUUCCGUGCCAGCCGCCGCGGUAA